UGCAGUCGAGCGGAACGAGUUAACUGAACCUUCGGGGAACGUUAACGGCGUCGAGCGGCGGACGGGUGAGUAAUGCCUGGGAAAUUGCCCUGAUGUGGGGGAUAACCAUUGGAAACGAUGGCUAAUACCGCAUAAUAGCUUCGGCUCAAAGAGGGGGACCUUCGGGCCUCUCGCGUCAGGAUAUGCCCAGGUGGGAUUAGCUAGUUGGUGAGGUAAUGGCUCACCAAGGCGACGAUCCCUAGCUGGUCUGAGAGGAUGAUCAGCCACACUGGAACUGAGACACGGUCCAGACUCCUACGGGAGGCAGCAGUGGGGAAUAUUGCACAAUGGGCGCAAGCCUGAUGCAGCCAUGCCGCGUGUAUGAAGAAGGCCUUCGGGUUGUAAAGUACUUUCAGCAGUGAGGAAGGCGGAGUCGUUAAUAGCGGCCUCGUUUGACGUUAGCUGCAGAAAAAGCACCGGCUAACUCCGUGCCAGCAGCCGCGGUAAUACGGAGGGUGCGAGCGUUAAUCGGAAUUACUGGGCGUAAAGCGCAUGCAGGUGGUUUGUUAAGUCAGAUGUGAAAGCCCGGGGCUCAACCUCGGAAUUGCAUUUGAAACUGGCAGACUAGAGUACUGUAGAGGGGGGUAGAAUUUCAGGUGUAGCGGUGAAAUGCGUAGAGAUCUGAAGGAAUACCGGUGGCGAAGGCGGCCCCCUGGACAGAUACUGACACUCAGAUGCGAAAGCGUGGGGAGCAAACAGGAUUAGAUACCCUGGUAGUCCACGCCGUAAACGAUGUCUACUUGGAGGUUGUGGCCUUGAGCCGUGGCUUUCGGAGCUAACGCGUUAAGUAGACCGCCUGGGGAGUACGGUCGCAAGAUUAAAACUCAAAUGAAUUUGACGGGGGCCCGCACAAGCGGUGGAACAUGUG
rnacentral:rRNA from 1 species